GGCCUGGUAGCUCAGCUGUUAGAGCAUGAGCGUACAUAGCAUAGGCGGCGCCCAUGCUUGGGUUCGAAUCCCACCGAGGCUA
rnacentral:tRNA from 1 species